CACGUAGGAGGCGAGCGUUGUCCGGAAUCAUUGGGCGUAAAGAGCGCGCAGGCGGCUUGGCAAGUCGGGUGUGAAAUCCCGGGGCUCAACCCCGGGACUGCAUUCGAUACUGUCAGGCUAGAGGUAGGUAGGGGAGAUCGGAAUUCCUGGUGUAGCGGUGAGAUGCGCAGAUAUCUGGAGGAACACCGGUGGCGAAGGCGGCAUUCUGGACCAACACUGACGCUGAGGAGCGAAAGCCAGGGGAGCAAACGGG
rnacentral:rRNA from 1 species